CCCUUAGAUGUUCUGGGCCGCACGCGUGCUACACUGAGUGGAUCAGCGGGUCAGGUUGCGCGAAAGUGUUUCCUAAUCUUUAAAUCCGCUCGUGAUGGGGAUUGACGGUUGCAAUUUUCCGUCAUGAACGAGGAAUACCUUGUAAGCGCGGGUCAUCAUCCCGCGCUGAAUACGUCCCUGCCCUUUGUACACACCGCCCGUCGCUCCUACCGAUUGGGUGGUCCGGUGAGGCUUUGGGAUCUGGGCGGAAAGAGCGUUUCGCUGUUUCUGCCCGGAAAACUCAGUCGAACCUUAUCAUUUAGAGGAAGGAGAAGUCGUAACA
rnacentral:rRNA from 1 species